rnacentral:rRNA from 1 species
AACGAACGCUGGCGGCAGGCUUAACACAUGCAAGUCGAGCGCCCCGCAAGGGGAGCGGCCGACGGGUGAGUAACGCGUGGGAACGUACCUUUUGGUUCGGAACAACUCCGGGACACUGGAGCUAAUACCGGAUAAGCCCUAACGGGGAAAGAUUUAUCGCCGAAAGAUCGGCCCGCGUCUGAUUAGCUAGUUGGUGAGGUAACGGCUCACCAAGGCGACGAUCAGUAGCUGGUCUGAGAGGAUGAUCAGCCACACUGGGACUGAGACACGGCCCAGACUCCUACGGGAAGCAGCAGUGGGGAGUAUUGGACAAUGGGCGCAAGCCUGAUCCAGCCAUGCCGCGUGAGUGAUGAAGGCCUUAGGGUUGUAAAGCUCUUUUGUCCGGGAAGAUAAUGACUGUACCGGAAGAAUAAGCCCCGGCUAACUUCGUG